rnacentral:rRNA from 1 species
UACAGAGGGGGCAAGCGUUGUUCGGAAUUACUGGGCGUAAAGGGCGCGUAGGCGCCUUCUAAGUCGAACGUGAAAUCCCUGGGCUCAACCCAGGAACUGCGUCCGAUACUGAAAGGCUUGAAUCCGGGAGAGGGAUGCGGAAUUCCAGGUGUAGCGGUGAAAUGCGUAGAUAUCUGGAGGAACACCGGUGGCGAAGGCGGCAUCCUGGACCGGUAUUGACGCUGAGGCGCGAAAGCCAGGGGAGCAAACGGG